UGGGGAAUUUUGGACAAUGGGGGAAACCCUGAUCCAGCCAUCCCGCGUGUGCGAUGAAGGCCUUCGGGUUGUAAAGCACUUUUGGCAGGAAAGAAACGUCAUGGGUUAAUACCCCGUGAAACUGACGGUACCUGCAGAAUAAGCACCGGCUAACUACGUGCCAGCAGCCGCGGUAAUACGUAGGGUGCAAGCGUUAAUCGGAAUUACUGGGCGUAAAGCGUGCGAAGGCGGUUCGGAAAGAAAGAUGUGAAAUCCCAGAGCUCAACUUUGGAACUGCAUUUUUAACUACCGGGCUAGAGUGUGUCAGAGGGAGGUGGAAUUCCGCGUGUAGCAGUGAAAUGCGUGGAUAUGCGGAACAACACCGAUGGCGAAGGCAGCCUCCUGGGAUAACACUGACGCUCAUGCACGAAAGCGUGGGGAGCAAACAGG
rnacentral:rRNA from 1 species